UGAGUCUGCAGGAACCAACCCAGGUAUUUGGGAAUGGUGGCAGAUCUUCAUCCUCAUUCUCCCCCUCUUCCUCAUCACUGCCUCGAUGGUUUACUGCAUCUGGAGGAAAUGGUGCAAAACUUCAAAGAGUUGUCAACCUGGCAAGAGUGAAAAAGAAGAAGAAG